ACCAGCGCACACCUCUCUUAUUUCAUUCUUCAUGGUCGGCUAAGACAAGAACAAAGAGAAAAAAGAAGAGAACAAACCCUAGUGAGCAAAAAUUCAAGGGAAAAUUGGUGGAUUUCAAGGAAUUAAGAAAGUAAAGGUGGUGAAACUUCCGAUAAGGGUAAGGAGAUUGUACCCGAAGACUGGGAUUAGGAGUACCUUGAUUCUCGAUAUUUCACUGCAGUGGUGGGUUUCCAUGGACUAGCCUAGUAGAGAGGGGCAUGGUAAACCCGAUUAUAUUUUACCUCGAUACGAGAGGCGUAGAAGGUAUCUCCUGAGGUAAAG